UGGCGCCCGAACAGGGACCUGGAAAUGAGGGACUCCGUGAGGAAGAGGACGCCAAAGGACAGUCGACCGCUAAUGAAGACAAAAGGAGUCAAACUCUUCCAAUCACCGCGGGAACAUGCCGCGUCAGAAUCGAAGGUAAGUGACGCGUCCGAAAUGGGACAAGAAUUAAGCCAACAUCAAAUAUAUGUAGGACAAUUAAAAGAGGCUUUAAAGAUACGAGGAGUAAAGGUUAAAGGUAAUGAUUUGUUUAAAUUUUUUGAUUUUGUAAAAGACACUUGCCCUU
rfam:Macaca mulatta chromosome 5, whole genome shotgun sequence.